rnacentral:rRNA from 1 species
UACGUAGGGUGCAAGCGUUGUCCGGAAUUAUUGGGCGUAAAGAGCUCGUAGGCGGUCUGUCGCGUCGGAUGUGAAACCUCGGGGCUCAACCCCGAGCCUGCAUUCGAUACGGGCAGACUAGAGUUCGGUAGGGGAGACUGGAAUUCCUGGUGUAGCGGUGAAAUGCGCAGAUAUCAGGAGGAACACCGGUGGCGAAGGCGGGUCUCUGGGCCGAUACUGACGCUGAGGAGCGAAAGCGUGGGGAGCGAACAGG